CGAAUUUUUUGAGCUAGGUCUCUUUUGCUUUUAUUUUCAGAUCGCGCUUGGUUUUGUUUUGGAGAGAAACGAGUGAAGAAAGAUAAACUAAAAAGAAAAAAUACGAAGACUUUAAAUAUGUAUCUUAGUUAAGAGAGUAAUGUCACUUAAGGUGUAUUCUCAUGAUCCACCCUAUAUAUAUAUAUAUAUCGGGAAUGAUCCAUAAUAACCAUUUUCUAUA
rnacentral:lncRNA from 1 species